rnacentral:lncRNA from 1 species
ACACAUAGAUGUGUGUGUAUAUUAUAUAUACACAUAGAUGUGUGUGUAUAUUAUAUAUACACAUAGAUGUGUGUGUAUAUUAUAUAUACACAUAGAUGUGUGUGUAUAUUAUAUAUACACAUAGAUGUGUGUGUAUAUUAUAUAUACACAUAGAUGUGUGUGUAUAUUAUAUAUACACAUAGAUGUGUGUGUAUAUUAUAUAUACACAUAGAUGUGUGUGUAUAUUAUAUAUACACAUAGAUGUGUGUGUAUAUUAUAUAUACACAUAGAUGUGUGUGUAUAUUAUAUAUACACAUAGAUGUGUGUGUAUAUUAUAUAUACACAUAGAUGUGUGUGUAUAUAUAUUGCACAGGGAUUAAAGAUAGUUAUUUAGCAUUAUCUCUCGACAGAAAAUGUGCUUACUCAGUAGUACAUGGCAGCAUUGAUUGGAUAGUGGAAAUUGAAAAUCAUCUAUACGUCCAUUACCAGAGGACUGGUUAUAUUAACUAUGGUAUAUUCCUGUAAUAUUUAAAAAAUCCAUGAUCUUUGGUGAAAAAAGCACAGAAUAGACCAAUUACAGCAUGAUUCCUCUUGUUAAAAGAAAAAAGGUAGCAUAGUGAUUAAGAGCGUGUCUCCUGGAGCCAGAAUGCUUGCAUUUGAAUCCCAGCUCCGCCACAUAUUUUCUUUGUGAUUAACCUUUCUUUGCCUCAGCUUCCUUAUUUAUAAAAUGGAGAUAAUGGAACCUAUUUAGUAGAGUUUUUAGGAAGAUGAAAAUAAUUUCAUAAAAUACUUAGAAUUGUAGUGGGACAGAUUAAAUUCUGUAUAUGUGUUUAGAAAACAUAUUCAUUCAUUUGUUCCACAACUAUUCAUUGAGUGCUCACACACUAGACAUUGAUUUACGGUCAUGGAAUAAGUACAUCAGACAACAAGUCAAGUCAAGUCUUUGCCUCAUGGAGCUAACAUUCUAAGAGGAGAAACAUGCAGUAAACAAGUAAAGAAAUGUAUGCUCUAUUCAGGGAGUAGUUUGUGCUAUGAGGAAAAGCAAAACAGGUUGAAGAGAUAGCUAUGUGGUGGGAGUGGGACUAUUUCGUACAGGGCACUGAUUGUAGACCUCUGAUGAGAUAACAUUUGACAAGAGAUCUGCAGGGAGCUAUGUGUCAUGGGGGAAGGCAUUGGAGGGUUUUGUGCAGGACAGUGAUGUGUGAUCAGAUUUAGUUUAAAAGAAUAAUUUGGGCUGGGCAUGGUGGUUCCUGCCUGUAAUCCCAGCACUUUGGGAGGGUGAGGUGGGCGAAUCACUUGAAUCUGGGAGUUUGAUACCAGUUCGGGCAACAUGGCGAAAUCCCGUCUCUACAAAAAAUACAAAAAUUAGCCAGUGUGGUGGCACGCGCCUGCAGUCCCAGCUACUUGGGAGGCUGAGGUGGGAGAAUUGCUUGGAUCUGGGAGGUGGAGGUUGCAGUGAACUCAGAUUGCGCCACUGCACUCCAGCCUGAGAUUGUGCCACUGCACUCCAGCCACUGCACUCCAGGAAGACCCUCUCAGAAAAAAAAAAAAAAGAAUUUGGCCGUUAUGUGGAGGACUGGAAUUGAGAAGGGCAAGAGCGAGGUAGAAGAGUGGUCUAGGGAGAACAGUUAGGGGCUAUUGCAAUUAUCCAGCAAGAGAUCUUGGACCAGGAUGGCAGCAGUGGAGGUGGUAAAAUGUGGUUGGAUGAAGCGUACGCUUUGAAGGUAUCAACAGGACCAGCUGAUGGAAGGGAGUCAACAGGACUAGCUGAUGGCUGUAAACUGGGGGGUCACUAGCUAUCAGAUGGCAUUUACUUAAAGCCAUGGAAGUAGGUGAGCUCCCUUAUGGAGAGGGAAUAGGAAGGAGGUAGACCAUUCUAUCAAAAUGCUCUUUCUACAGGGCACUUCUCACUGAGAUAUUAUUUAUCUGGGAUUUAUAUUAUUUAUUCAAUUUGUUUUGUGUUUGGUUCUAUUAGAAAAGCUCCAUAGGGGCCGGGCACGUUGGCUUUUGCCUGUAAUCCCAACACUUUGGAAGGCCGAGGCAGGCGGAUUACCUGGGGUCAGGAGUUUGAGACCAGCCUGGCCAACAUGGUGAAACUCUGUCUCUACUAAAAACACAAAAAUUAGCCGGGCGUGGUGGUGCGCCUGUAAUCCCAGAUGCUGAGGAGGAGAAUCGCUUGAACCCGGGAGGUGGAGGUUGCAGUGAGCCGAGAUCGCGCCACUGCACUCCAGCCUGGGCAACAAGAGCGAAACUCCCUCUCAAAAACAAACAAACAAACAAACAAACAAACAAAAAACAAAAAAAAGAAAGAAAGAAAGAAAAGGGCCAGGUGUGGUGGCUCACACCUGUAAUCCCAGCACUUUGGGAGGCUGAGGCAGGCGGAUCACGAGGUCAGGAGAUCGAGACCAUCCUCACCAACACGGUGAAACCCCGUCUCUACUAAAAAUACAAAAAUUAGUCGGGUGUGGUGGCGGGCGCCUGUAGUCCCAGGUACUCCGCAGGCUGAGGCAGGAGAAUCGCUUGAACCCGGGAGGCGGAGGUUGUAGUGAGCCGAGAUUGAGCCACUGCACUCCAGCCUGGGUGACAAAGUGAGACUCCAUCUCAAAAGAAAAAAGCUCCAUAGGAGAAGGAACCUUGUCUCUUCACCACAUAAACUGUGUUUGGAUUCGCAAUCGAGUUGGGAAAAAAAAAUCAGUCUGGAAGAGCCACACCAAACCGCUAACAGCUACUGUCUCUGGGAAUAGAACAAGGAGUUUGGUUGGCGCGAUAUACCGCCCCUGAACCUCUAGCCACAAUAAGGCUUAAUUAAUGACCGGACGACUUGAAAGCGCCUUCCACUGUUUAUCUCUUAAAUCUGCAACGAAAUGCAACAAAAACGCAAGAAAUAAACAAUAGAAGCCAGUCUUACUGCACACUGCAGAAGCCAAUAAACCCCAAAUGUAGCUCAAAACAAGGUGUCACGCAAACUUCUGAUUUUUUUUUGUUUUACACUGAAUCUCUGUCACUCUGACUAGAGGGCAGUGGCGCGAUCUCGGAUCACUACAACCUCCGUCUUCUAGAGUCAAGAGACUCUCCCGCCCCAGGAGUCUCUGCCACUCUGACUAGAGGGCAGUGGCGCGAUCUCGGAUCACUACAACCUCCGUCUUCUAGAGUCAAGAGACUCUCCCGCCCCAGCUUCUCCAAUAGGUGGGAUUGCAAACAGGCACCACCACGCCCGAAUAAGUUUGUGAACAUUUGGUACAAAUAACAAAUGACCAAGUUCCUUGGUUGUAGUUGCCUAACUUUUAAUACUUAAAAAUGUAGCCUCAGGAAAUAAGAGGCCUCAAAAAAUUGAAUAAAAACUCACAACUUUCUCUCCACGGAA